rnacentral:rRNA from 1 species
GACGAACGCUGGCGGCGUGCUUAACACAUGCAAGUCGAACGAAGUGGCGAACGGGUGAGUAACGCGUAAUCAACCUGCCCUUCAGAGGGGGACAACAGUUGGAAACGACUGCUAAUACCGCAUACUGAAGGAGGGGACUGCGUCUGGUUAGCUGGUUGGGGGGGUAACGGCCGACCAAGGCGAUGACAAGUAGGCGGUCUGGGAGGAUGAACGGCCACAUUGGGACUGGGACACGGCCCAGACUCCCUCGGGAGGCAGCAGUGGGGAAUCUUCCGCAAUGGACGAAAGUCUGGCGGAGCAACGCCGCGGGAGUGGUGACGGCUUUCGGGUUGUAAAGCUCUUUUAAUCGGGACGCGGUACCGGAAUAGAAAGCCACGGCUAACUACGUGCCAGCCGCCGCGGUAAUAC